AAUACACUUGUACACAGAAAAAGGGGCAGCAGACACAGGACGGAGAUUAAGCUUUGGAAACUUCCAUGGCAGUUUAUGGGACAGGUUUUAGUUUCUUUGUAGUAUUCAAUACUUCUCCAAGUCUUGACGGUUGGAAUGAGUUGCUCUGUGCAUCCACAGGAGGAAGAAGCUGUGUUUUGAGUACAGGCACUACCUAAACGAACAGCACUGCUGGAAUCCAUUUCUUAGAGCCUGACAAUCCCGUUCAAUUAUUUUAUGUAAUUCGUAAGCACUACUUAGAAACUGCAGCAACCUGGGAAGCUCACUGUGGCCUGGGAAAUGCAAGUUUUCAAACAAGCUUGGAUGCAGAGCCCUGGCGACCGAGCAUAGGAAAGGGAGAUCAAAAACUAGCUAGGAACAGUGGCUGCAGACUGUAGACCGUGGGCACCGAGAGAAGGAAGUUUCUGUCCCGUUUUCUAUUUGUGUGGUGGUGGCGGGUGUGAUCUGGGGUACAACUUUAUUUUUGUUUCGUUUUUACUUUGACUUUUUUUUUUUUUAAUGACCAAAAAGUUGUGGAAAUUUGCUCUGUUGUGUGUAGUCUGCAUCUUCCGGGGGAAGCAGUUAGGAUGUUUCUCUCUAAACCGGUUUCGGCAGAAAUGAUGGUGCCCAGCACGGUAAAUGCCUAACCUUGAUAAACGCCUAACACUGAUGAACGCUUAGCACCGAAAAAACACAAAACCGGCCAAGUGCCUAAUUUAAGACACGUUUUUACACGUACUUUUUCCAAUUAGACUAAUUUGUCGCGUAUCGAAUUAUGUCUCCUCCAUAGCACUGGGCUGGGGGAGGAUGGGAACGGAACAAUAAAUUAAAAUGGAAAAGCUCUCUCAAAAGCCCCUCCAACACGACGUCACAAUUAGGAGCCCCCCUCCCGGACUGGAAUGAAAUCCAGUGGCCUGAUUUCGUCGGAAGAUAAAUUACGAGAAGUGAACUUGACCCUAGUCCUCCCCACCCCCUAAACUCCCAAGGUCAAGACAAAGGGAGAGGGGCUGGCUUAAUUCUUUCCCGGCCUGGAGAGCCAAGGUUGCCGGGGAGAGGAUUAAAAUAACCAGCCCUUUGUCCCAAGCAUAUCUUACGGCAGGUAACUGGGAGAGAAAGCAUCAACAACAUUAUCCGGAUAAUUCCCUCGGGCCACUAACCAUUUGCCAGAAAGGACUUGCCUCCAGGCAUUUUUCUCUAGUCCUAAAUGGAAGGGCUGGAAGCUUUGCAUCGGUUGACGGGAUCUGGCGUCUCCUUAGUGGGCCUUGGGAGGUUCCUGGAAGGGACUCCUGGGCACGGACCCCAUCCCAGCCACAUCAGGCCUGCAGGCCAGCCCGGCUCUCCCCGCCCGCAGCUCGCCCGGGGCCGCCUUCUACCCCCGUAUUCCACAGUCAGUAAACAUCCCCUCGACCUACCGCAGACGCCUGCUUGCCUUGGGGUUCCAGGAUCAGGAAUUCCUAAAACUAAAUUUAACAGAACAAAGCAAUCACAGCUACUACCAGUUUCAAAGGCCGCUCGCCAGUCCCCGGCCUCCGCUCUCUGCAGGUCUCUGAGCAAGACGCGCUUUUCCCGGGUCCCCCGGUGCAGCGGCCGAGGUUCCCCCGCGGGAAGAGGGAGACUCCUGGUUGCCCGAGCUUCCGCAUCCUGGUCCCGAGUCGAAGAUCGAGCACCCGCGGGGUUCGGUUGUCGCUCUGCGGGCUGCGGGGACCCACGCGGCGGGGACUGGGAAGGCAAGGACCGCGCGGCAGGGUGACCCACCUCUGAUCGCGCGCAGGCUGGAGCUGUUAAUCCUUUGUUAUUUAUGCACGUGUUUAUCUUGAUCGCGGGAAAGAUACUGGGGGGAGGGAGGGUGCUAACGGCCUAACCCAAGGUAAACUACCGGGAACAGAGAGUGUUCAAGAUUCCGCGGAGUCUAACGCACCGCCUCGCUUGCUCUAGGGCCUCAACGGUUGGGUGUUUACACUCAGACCCCGUACGUUUUCGCCGAAGACAAGGACCACAAGUUCCUGUAAUAAAGCAACGGAUGGUUUAGUGGGAGAGGCCAGGACCUGCAGUUUCCCGCCUCUUCUGAAUUGUUCCUCACCCAUUUCCUCCCGCUUUCGAUAUUCCGAGCACCUUUCCAGGUCCUUCUGGAACAGGGCCUCUCCCGGAAAACCUCUCCGGAUGCCAGUGUAUGUGUCUCCGUCCUGUUUUCCAUUUGUCCUGACUGUAAUAAUUUGCAAAGAUGUCCCUCUCCCUCACGGUGCAGAGAACAUAGACUGUAGUCCUCAGGCCUGGGGGAUGCCAGCCCAAGAGCUGGCCGCGAAGCUAGGCAAAGCUAGGAGACAGGCUUUGUCCUUCCCAGGUAUCUUUUUCCGAAGCUUUGCACGCACUAGGGGCUUGAAAUGAAAACUUGGUUGAACUAAAUUGCCCCAUGUGUUUAAUCCCGUGGUGCUCACACUUAGACAGAUCUGCCCAGUUUCUUAGUGAGGCAGGGUCUAGGGUGUUUGGAAUGCACCUACCCUCUGUGACCUGGAAUAGAGGGCACCAGGGGGAAGCAGGUGUUUCUAGGGAGAGAAGUUGGUUGGUGGUAGGAAAGAGCCUGGGCUUCUUCUUCUGUCAGUUGGUAAACACCAGGAGCUUAGAAGUUAAAAGAUGCCCCCACCCAGAUCCUGUCAUUGAGGCACAAAUAAAAUAACUCACAAGGUUGUCUCGAUUUCUUUAUUUUACGAAGUGUCACUCCAUAGGGACUUUCAAGGUGAAUGAAGGACAGUAGCCCCAGAGGAACAGUAGAGAAGUAGCCAGGUGGGGUUUUCUUGUUUUGUUUUGAGGGGGGUAUUAGCAAGUCUUCAGGUGCCUGCAAAUGAACUAGCCCACCCAAACUUUAAGUCAGCAGCAGGAGGUCUGAGGGGGUGACCCGCGCCCCAAUGUCCCGUGAUGUCCCACGAUGCCUCACGAUGCUCCAGGACAGAAAGGACUGGGCACUUGAGAACUGCCCAGGGUGAUGGCACCCCUGGCAGUUGCUCCUCAGAAGCUCCCAACGAACGUCUGAGAGAGCAUUUCGGAGGGGAGGGGAGCCAGAGGCCCAGGGGAUAGAUGCAACACCUCCCUCUUGCUUUUUGUUAACGCUUCAGUCAGUCAGAAAAAUCAUUACCCUGGUUAACUUUUGUCUAGUUUUCAAUACAGGCAUAAAAUGUUUUAAAUACAAGUGACAAGAUCAACAAUAUUUUUUUUUUCCCUUGCCAAGAUUCCAUCCAGUCAAAGACAACCAUAAAGCCACAUGCCUGGGAUACUGUCCUCACCAGUAAGCCUCUCCCAAGCCCAGACCAAGAACGUCCCCCGCAUACUUCGAAGCAUUUUCUUAGUGACUUUCAGCCCAAAUGACCAUCCCUCUCUCCAAAAGCCAACAAGAAGAAGUCACUGACAGGUUGCCUCUGAGAGAAGUUUUGGGGCCUCCCCCCCUUAUUGCAGAGACCUCCAGUGUCCCCAAAUUCUCGAGCAACAUUCUUGCAGGACUUCUUAGAGGCAGGUCCCAGGUCGAUACAUAGGAAACGCACUCAGCCCAUGAGUUAGUUGUUUACCUUAUUAAAGAGAAACUCUUGGAAGCAGAAAGGUGGGGGGCACUGAAUAACACUCUUGACCCCUCUGCAAAGGUGGUGAUGGGCAUCCAGUUGCUCCUAGGCCCCGGAACUCUGCAGACAUCUGCCUGAAGAUUUCAGCUUCCCAGCGAUUCGCACUCCUUAAGGCUUGGAGAGGAACCCGAGCUACCGCUGCCCCGGAUGCUCUGCUCCUUGCUAAGUCUGGGGCGAGGUUAAAUCAGUAGCGCUCCGUCUUACAGCUUCAAGCCCAGAGAGAAGUUUGGGGACGAUACUCCGAUACUCCGAUACUCCGUAAGCUUCCUCAGGUCUGUGGCGAUUUGGGGCAGCGGCUUCCAGCAGGUCUCUGGAACCGACUACGUGCCACCAGCAGCCCCAACUGGGCCUCCUUCCUUCUCGAGACCAGAGAAGUGCGUUUCCCCCCUCUUUCUCCUCUCGCCUACCCCUGCUCCCCCCACCCAUAAAGCAUUUAGUAGAGUGGGGGUGGAGGGAGUGGAGACCACCAGCCGGGAUCUUCAAGUUCAAUGGCAAUGACCCUCCCCACAGACUGGGCGCAGGCAGUUGCUCCCUUCCUCUUCCCAUAAUUCUGGGGGCUACUGCAUUCUUUUGCAGCUCCUCCUGUUUCAGGGGCAAUUUAGGGGAGCCUAGGGGUAAUGAUGGCAUUCUUUCUCUCAUGUCUCCGACAACUCGGUGUCCUCCCCCCCCCCCGCAGCCCCCAUAACUGUUAGCCGAGAAAGGAAGACAGGCUGGCAUCUGUUCCCCAUUGGAUGUUUUAAAUCUCUCUGCAAGCCCCGGCCAGAGCCGGGAGGGGGGAGGGUGCCCCGCUCUUGGGCAGGAGAGGUGGGCGGCUCCUGGCCUUUCUCUUCUCCUGCCCAGAGACUGUUCAGGUGGGUAAGCCUAAGGUAUAAAUGUCUUUCAAAAACGACUGGAAUCUCCUCCCUCCGUCUUCUGCACCGCAGCCGCCUGGGCGCUUUAUGGCAAAUUUACGGAAGAAACAAAAUCCCUUGUAUCUUUUGUUGCUUCAAGAAUUUCUUACUGAAAAGGGAACAGCGGCAGGUUCCAGACAAGUAAGGAAAAAAGAAAUAGGAAACCCGCCGCCAGCGGUGAUGUUUGGAGGAUAAAUUUAUUAUUUCCACGUAACCAAGAGGUGGACGGAAAGGUGGAAUGCGCUCACGGCUUUGCCUCUUCUUCGCCUUUCCUGUCCUCCUCCGGGGCACAUCCGAGGCUAGACCUACACAUCUUCUGGAAUUCCGGGCGCCUUGGAGUCCUGAAGCUUUCACAGGCCUAGAACCUUCAAACCCCGGGGGCCAGAGGUCCCAGGCUGUUGCAAGCCGGAAGCUGUGGGGUGAGAAGGGGGCUGGAGAAUGAAAGCCUCGGGCGGGCGGCCGGUUUCCUGAAAUGGCAAAUGUCUACCGGAAGGGGGAGCGCUUGUCUUCUUAAUAGUUCAAUCAUGUUGGUGGCGGAAUAAAUCUCUUAAAACCCCCAAAUCUUUUGUCUGCUCUGAAAUUAGUACCAACGAAAAGUAAAGGAGCUCUGAAAUUUUAAGCCCCUU